rnacentral:rRNA from 1 species
AUUGAACGCUGGCGGCAUGCCUUACACAUGCAAGUCGAACGGCAGCACGGGAGCAAUCCUGGUGGCGAGUGGCGAACGGGUGAGUAAUAUAUCGGAACGUGCCCAGUAGUGGGGGGAUAGCCCGGCGAAAGCCGGAUUAAUACCGCAUGAGACCUGAGGGUGAAAGCGGGGGAUCGCAAGACCUCGCGCUAUUGGAGCGGCCGAUAUCAGAUUAGCUAGUUGGUGGGGUAAAGGCCUACCAAGGCAACGAUCUGUAGUUGGUCUGAGAGGACGACCAGCCACACUGGGACUGAGACACGGCCCAGACUCCUACGGAGGCAGCAGUGGGGAAUUUUGGGACAAUGGGCGCAAGCCUGAUCCAGCCAUGCCGCGUGCAGGAUGAAGGCCUUCGGGUUGUAAACUGCUUUGUACGUACGAAAAGACUAC